CUGUCCUGCACCUGCCAUCACCAUGGAAAUGCUCCAGGGGAGGCCAUGUUCAAUCAGCCAAAAGCCAGCAAACACCCAGGCAGGGCAGGCACCUGCCCCCAUCGGAGGGCUCUCCCACCUGCGGCCCUGGACACAACCAUGUGCACAUUCCUCCUUCUCUGCCAUUGAAGACUUGUGGCUACUUGUUCUAUAUCAUCAGUGAUAUAUCAGGAUAACACGAUGAGUCUGGAGUUUGCUAUACAGAUUUAACAACUUUUGAAAAAGAAUGAAGGCUUUGUAUCACCUUCAAGGGCCAACUCAAUGUUUAUUGGAGAACAUUAUGCUCAAUGAAAGAGCCCCAUCACAGAAGGACAGAGACUGUAGGAUUCCACUCAUAUGAGGUAUCUAAGCAGCCAGACUCCUAGAAGCAGGGAGUGGAAUGGUCACUGCCACGAACCAGAAGAGGGAGAAAUGGGAGGUGGAGUGUCAGCUAUGCCCAAAAUGCCUACAACUCUGGGAGUUUAUCAACCAUCGGAUGUUUCCUUUGAAAGGAGAAUCAUUUAAUAGUACCUACAGCAUGUGGAGACACAGGCCAGAGUGGACAGAGCUGGAGAGAAGUCGAGAGAACCUCACUAGGGACCUCACCUGCACAGCUAACCUACACUUGAGUGCAUGCGCCAUCUCAGCCUUGUCUGCUUCGCCUUUAAUUUAAGAGUCAUAAAACCACAUAUUGAGGAAAUGAAAUGACACGUUAUAUAUCUUAUUUUUAUGGGCUUGUGUAUAUUUACAUGUAUUUACUUUUUGCAUAUGUUUCGUAAACUGUAAAGCACUAUAUUAACAUAAAGUAUUAC
rnacentral:lncRNA from 1 species